rnacentral:rRNA from 1 species
CACGUAGGGCGCAAGCGUUGUCCGGAAUUAUUGGGCGUAAAGAGCUCGUAGGCGGUCUGUUGCGUCUGCUGUGAAAACCCGGGGCUUAACCCCUGGCUUGCAGUGGAUACGGACAGACUAGAGGUAGGUAGGGGAGAAUGGAAUUCCCGGUGUAGUGGUGAAAUGCGUAGAUAUCGGGAGGAACACCAGUGGCGAAGGCGACUACCUGGCCUGUUCUUGACGCUGAGGCGCGAAAGCUAGGGGAGCAAACGGG